GAUAAACUGCAGUUAUUCAAUUCCCAGUUUCUCUCCCUUUGAUUUCUACUUCUCAGGUGAGGGUUCUGUUUAGGUAAGGGUGUGAUGUCUGUACAAAAACAAAACAGGCUAUUUUAAGUGUAGAACCAUUAGACACCCUAUAACCCACACCUACACACUCGUGUAUCAAUCUGAUUGAUGGAUUGUGUUGUGCAGUAAGCAGGCUCAGGUGUAUAACUGUGGCUCCUUCCAACUUCAAAGAAUAGGUAAGAGGGCCAAGCAUGGAGAAUAGUAAGACACUUCAUUAUUUCUAUAACUACGCUAUAUUGUUUGUCUUUGUGUGUCCGUUCAUGUGUUUCAGUAUAAAGUACUCUGCAGCCACUUAGUGUGGUGUGGACACCAGGUGAGGACACACACACACAGAUUCCCGUUGAACACUGUCUCUUUAACUACCUUAUUUCCUCGAUAAGUCUCUCUCCUUCACUUCAUCCCUCUCUCCUCUUCUCCCUAAAUCCUCUAGGUUAUAUCAGCAGUGUCGGUGAACCCCUCCUUCAUCUGGACUGCCUGCAUAGAGGGCACAGCAUGAUCAGAGGUCCUCUAUAAUCCCUCCCCCGGCCUCCAUGUCAUCAGCAUCAUCCCUGAACCUGGGCCAAUCACUGUCUCCGUCCCCGCGUUCCAUGGCCUCUGGUUGGCCGUCGAGGUUGAUGUGGGCGGGAGAUCUCCAGAGAGGAGCGGAUGUAGCCUUUACAGAAGGACACCACGUCAGUCAUCUGGAGGUAGCUGGCCGCUGACAUCACCUCGAUGACGUUGUCGCUGCGCAGGUCCAGUCGGCCCGAGUACAG